rnacentral:rRNA from 1 species
AGGACGAACGCUGGCGGCGUGCUUAACACAUGCAAGUGGAGCGACGAACCAGGGCUUGCCCUGGGGCAGAGCCGCGAACGGGUGAGUAACACGUGGGUUACCUGCCUCGAUGACCGGGACAACCCGAGGAAACUCGGGCUAAUACCGGAUGUGCCCGCAAGGGGAAAGGAAGCUUCGGCCUCCGCAUCGAGAUGGGCCCGCGGCCCAUUAGCUUGUUGGUGAGGUAACGGCUCACCAAGGCUUCGAUGGGUAGCUGGUCUGAGAGGACGAUCAGCCACACUGGGACUGAGACACGGCCCAGACUCCUACGGGAGGCAGCAGUGGGGAAUCUUGCGCAAUGCGCGAAAGCGUGACGCAGCAACGCCGCGUGGGGGAAGAAGGCUUUCGGGUUGUAAACCCCUUUCAGUUGGGACGAAGCUUCGCCGGUGAACAGCCGGCUGGAGUGACGGUACCUUCACAAGAAGCACCGGCUAACUACGCGCCAGCAGCCGCGGU